rnacentral:sRNA from 1 species
UUUGGCAUUUAACAGCCAGUUCGGUAGGCUUUCCCGAAAGUUCCAGGUAAAAAUGUCGCUAUCGAGAUUCUCUCGAUGUGAUUCCUGUUUCGUUCGAAGGAAUCCAGUUUGGAACUGUAAAACAUGCCGCAACUCUAUGUGCUAUAGCUGCAAGGAAACAUGCAACAUCUGUCGUGAAUCAGUCUGUGGAACCUGCAACCCGACCCUCAGAAUCCGCAGGUCCGUCGAUGAUUGUCUGGAUCCACUUUGCUACCACUUCAAGCAGAGUUGCACCGAUUGCGGGAGUUUGAAAUGCAAACGCUUGAUGCGCCGUUGCUACGAAUGCCUGACCCCCCUGUGCUACAUUUGUGCUCCUCAUUGCAAGGAAUGCAGCAUUGACCGAUCUCUUCGCUUGAAAUAUCUUUACUGAUGAAUUGGAAAAACGAAAUUGUUACCCUCAAUGCAAGCCGUGCUCUUGUUUUAAGAUGCAGCUGAAUAAAAGUGUGACAUUUGCGCGGGAAACUGUUAAGUAUCUGUGAUAGUUGAACGUUUUUGCUAAGAAUUGUUAGUUACUAUUUAUUGUUAGAAUUUGAAAGAAUUUGUUGGAUUUCGUAUUUACAAGAUGUAGAAGGAUUUAUAAGCAUGUUUUCGAUUGCAUAUUUGUUUUGAGUUUCACCCUCAGUGUUUUUGUUCCUUGAUCCAGAGAGUGUAUAACGCUAUUUAUUGAUCCAUUUAAAUGGCUCAUUUAAUACCAAUAAUAAAUGAUUGUGAUAUCGUU